rnacentral:misc_RNA from 1 species
AUUAAAUCUCGUUUCCGGUAGAAGAAUAGAACAGCGUCUGCAAUGAAUGUGGAAAGUUUAGAGUCACCUUAUAAGGAGCUGGUUAAGGCUGCCGUAGAGGUCAAGGACAAGGCCUAUUGUCCCUAUAGCAACUUCCACGUGGGGGCGGCGGUGCUGACUUCUUCGAACCAGAUUUUUACAGGUGUCAACGUAGAAAACGCUUCGUAUGGUCUCUGUGUCUGUGCAGAGCGUGUUGCCAUAACGAACGCUGUGUCUCAAGGUCACAGAGAACUGAAGGCGAUGGCUGUGUGUUGUUUAAUUUGGAUAUGGAUUACUACAUGGUGAAACCGGACUACACAUCUAAAAAGAUCAAAUUUGCAGAGUUACUGCCCAUGGCAUUUACUCCAGCAUCACUGAAGGAAGAGAGAGUGUAAAAAAAGUAUGAAUGUACGAUUGCGAGUUGUUCUUUAAUAUAAAGGUGUACAAAAUUCAUAAAAUUUUUAAUAGACCUGCAACUUUUUAUUAAAACUUUUUGAUAAUAAACAUAUAUUUUUUCU